ACCACUCAGCGCCCUGGACUACGGAGAUGGAAGUCGCAGGGUGUGGGGCAGAGGUCGAAGGCCCCUCCUGCGUCUGCCUGCUGUCAGAGUUCCCCUGAGUCAGAGCGUAGGGCAGGUGUGGCCGCCCCGGACCGGUCCAGACUAAUUAGUCCCCGCACUAAUGAGCUUGGAACGCACACUGCCGCCGCACCCAGACUCCGGCCUGCGCUGUCCCCAAGGAGGGGACAGAUUGGCUUCCGGUCUGGCCAAUGUGACUCCAGGACACAGGGUCCUCAAAGCAAGAAGCUCGGAGCUUGUGGGCGCCCAGGAGCCCGGCUGAGGACUCCAGUUCCACUGAGAAGAACGGAUCCCAGAAGAGGGAGCCCACUUACACAGACGACACACGAUCAUGCCUGUGCACUGGACUGUGUGGGACUGCAUGUUUGUGAAUCGUAAAAACACUAAAAUCCGGAAGGCACACCAUGCGGAUGCUACGGAGGCAGCCUCCGUUGGGUGUCGGGGUUGCAGGAGGUGCUGAUUUA